rnacentral:rRNA from 1 species
AUACGGAGGAUCCGAGCGUUAUCCGGAUUUAUUGGGUUUAAAGGGAGCGUAGGCGGACGCUUAAGUCAGUUGUGAAAGUUUGCGGCUCAACCGUAAAAUUGCAGUUGAUACUGGGUGUCUUGAGUACAGUAGAGGCAGGCGGAAUUCGUGGGGGAGCGGGGAAAUGCUUAGAUAUCACGAAGAACUCCGAGUGCGAAGGCAGCCUGCUGGACUGUAACUGACGCUGAUGCUCGAAAGUGUGGGUAUCAAACAGGAUUAGAUACCCUGGUAGUCCACACAGUAAACGAUGAAUACUCGCUGUUUGCGAUAUACAGUAAGCGGCCAAGCGAAAGCGUUAAGUAUUCCACCUGGGGAGUACGCCGGCAACGGUGAAACUCAAAGGAAUUGACGGGG